rnacentral:rRNA from 1 species
AGAGUUUGAUCCUGGCUCAGAACGAACGCUGGCGGCGUGCCUAACACAUGCAAGUCGUGCGAGAAAAGGGGGGCAACUCCCUGAGUAAAGCGGCGCACGGGUGAGUAACACGUAGGUAAUCUACCCUCGAGUCCAGGAUAACCCGCCGAAAGGUGAGCUAAUACCGGAUAUGACCACGGGAGUUUCGGCUCCUGCGGUGAAAGGUGGCCUCUGCUUGCAAGCUACCGCUCGGAGAUGAGCCUGCGGGCCAUUAGCUAGUUGGUGAGGUAACGGCUCACCAAGGCGAUGAUGGCUAGCUGGUCUGAGAGGAUGGCCAGCCACACUGGGACUGAAACACGGCCCAGACUCCUACGGGAGGCAGCAGUGGGGGAUAUUGCGCAAUGGGCGAAAGCCUGACGCAGCGACGCCGCGUGGGUGAUGAAGGCCUUCGGGUCGUAAAGCCCUGUCGAGGGGAACGAAACGGUCUCGACCCAAUACGUCGAGGCCCUGACGGUACCCCUAAAGGAAGCACCGGCUAACUCCGUGCCAGCAGCCGCGGUAAUACGGAGGGUGCAAGCGUUGUUCGGAAUCACUGGGCGUAAAGGGCGUGUAGGCGGUCCGCUAAGUCUGAUGUGAAAGCCCGGGGCUCACCCCCGGAAGGGCAUUGGAAACUGGCGGACUCGAGUCCCGGAGAGGAAGGUGGAAUUCCUGGUGUAGCGGUGAAAUGCGUAGAUAUCAGGAGGAAUACCGGUGGCGAAGGCGGCCUUCUGGACGGUGACUGACGCUGAGACGCGAAAGCGUGGGGAGCAAACAGGAUUAGAUACCCUGGUAGUCCACGCUGUAAACGAUGAGCACUAGGUGUCGUGGGUAUUGACCCCCGCGGUGCCGACGCUAACGCAUUAAGUGCUCCGCCUGGGGACUACGGGCCGCAAGGUUAAAACUCAAAUGAAUUGACGG